rnacentral:rRNA from 1 species
CAAUAGCGUAUAUUAACGUUGUUGCAGUUAAAAAGCUCGUAGUUGGAUUUCUGGAGGGAGCGUCGGCCCGUAUUUACGAGUGCGUGACGUCUCUGUCCAUCCUUGCGGGAAGGCACGGCAUUGAUUUGUUGUGUCGGAUCGCAUCAUUUACUGUGAAAAAAUUAGAGUGUUCAAAGCAGGCCUUCGCCUUGAAUACAUUAGCAUGGAAUAAUAAGAUAGGACUUUGGUCUAUUUUGUUGGUUUGCAGACCGAAGUAAUGAUUAAUAGGGAUAGUUGGGGGUAUUUAUAUUCCGAUGUCAGAGGUGAAAUUCUUAGAUUUUCGGAAGAUAAACUUAUGCGAAAGCAUUUACCAAGGAUGUUUUCAUUAA